GCUUACGGCCAUACCACCUUAGGCACGCCCGAUCUCGUCUGAUCUCGGAAGCUAAGCAGGGUCGGGCCUGGUUAGUACUUGGAUGGGUGACCGCCUGGGAAUACCAGGUGCUGCUGUAA
ensembl:rRNA 5S_rRNA 5S ribosomal RNA